rnacentral:rRNA from 1 species
CCUACGGGAGGCAGCAGUGAGGAAUAUUGGUCAAUGGACGAGAGUCUGAACCAGCCAAGUAGCGUGAAGGAUGACUGCCCUAUGGGUUGUAAACUUCUUUUAUAUGGGAAUAAAAUGUUCCACGUGUGGGCUUUUGUAUGUACCAUAUGAAUAAGGAUCGGCUAACUCCGUGCCAGCAGCCGCGGUAAUACGGAGGAUCCGAGCGUUAUCCGGAUUUAUUGGGUUUAAAGGGAGCGUAGGUGGAUUGUUAGGUCAGUUGUGAAAGUUUGCGGCUCAACCGUAAAAUUGCAGUUGAAACUGGCAGUCUUGAGUACAGUAGAGGUGGGCGGAAUGCGUGGUGUAGCGGUGAAAUGCUUAGAUAUCACGAAGAACUCCGAUUGCGAAGGCAGCUCACUGGACUGCAACUGACACUGAGGCUCGAAAGUGUGGGUAUCAAACAGGAUUAGAUACCCCUGUAGUC